rnacentral:lncRNA from 1 species
GGGAAGAUGUUAAACUUUUUGUAUCUGUCUUCUCUUUCUCACACCCACUUCUUCUGUAUAUAGAAAACUCUUAACUAUUGAAGAUGUAUAUCUCUGUGUGUGUGUGUGUGUGUGUGUUAUCUCGCUUUCUCUCCCCCACAAAAGUUGUUUUGCGUUAAAAGACUCAGAGAGACAGUGAAGUCUCUUAAAUAGAGAGAGAGAGAGAGAGAGAGAGAGAGAGGUGUUAAUAGGGAGGGGUGAGAGAGAGUCUUGUUUCUCUUUUUCUUGGGUUUUGGGGUAUGGUUUUGUUGGUUUCUUUCUGUCUCAUCCUAUCUCUGUCCCUGCGAAGGAGAGGAAGUCACGUGACGAGUCAUGCUUAUUAUAGAGACGUGAGCUUUGAAGUUUGCAUUUUUUUAUUGCUUUGAAGUUUCAACCUUAACUACAGUAAGCUUCUUUAUUUUGAAGAACUUUUCCAGACAAGACCAUUAACUGUAUAUAUCAUUCGAUUUAUUUCGCUUAGGUUUUCUCCAUUUUAGCCAAAAUAUCUUCAGUAUUUCGACUAGAGAGCUAACUAUAUUUAUUUCUUUUCCAAAAAUAGCUAACUAUAUAAUUCUAAGUAUAUGUGUGGAUUCAAGUCACAAUUUCUUAGCUAAUCGUAAAUUUCUAGUCAUUGCUUUAAAGAAUGCAAAGAAAAAAUUACUACUUGUUAUAUUACUACAUUUAAAAUCACACUAAAAUGUCAUCUGAUUUUAUAUAGACCUAUUUUCUAGAAUUCGAAAACAAACAACCAAACCGAGUGCCCACGCCUCCUUGAACAAAACACUGCCGGUACGAUCACUAGCCCAUUGGUUUGAAUGUUAGAUAUAUUGAUGAUGUUUGACUAAAGGAUCUCUAAAGUUUUUGAAAUGGUUUGGUGAUAGAAUUUAGUAUAUAGUUUGGAGUUAUUUGAUGCCUAUAAGAGUUCCUCGCAUUAUCUUUUGUUCGAAUUCUUGAAGUACGUUUCGAUGGUCGGUAAACUAAAUUAAAAAGAUUUAACAAGUUACCUUUUGCGUGGUUAUGUUAUUUCCACGUUAGGCUCUCUAGUAGAUGUGAUUAAAUAUAAAUUAACACCUUAUUCGCUGGUACCAAAAAUGGAUCCGAGAUAUUCCUUCUGCAUAUAUGAACCACGGAGGCUCUACUUUUAAUGUAUGUUUGUUUAAAUAUUAGAACCCAAAAACUAUUGUAUUAUGACUGAAGAUUAAAUUAAUCUGCAAGGAUUAUUGAAUUGUUUUGUUUUCCCGAUUAAUUAUGCCUAAGAACAAUAACUAAAGCAUAUAAGAAGCUCAUAGUUUUGAUUUAUAGAAAGAAAAAAAACAAGAACGAUAUUAAAACAUCGUUAAUUUUUCACAUCACACCAAAGAAAAAAAUGUUUGUCUUGCUAUAAAUUAAAACUAUGAGCUUAUAUGCUUUUGUAAAUUAAUCUGAGGUUGAUGUACCUUCAAUGAAACUUUGAGCUGAGAUAUUUUCGUGGUUAGAUACCCGACGUCAUAUUGAGAUUCGACUUAUUAGUUUGCAAUCUUCCCCACGCGCUUUUCAUCUAUAUACUUUAUCGUCUUUCACUCGUUUGAUUAUGAUCCUUUUCCCUAUGAUACGCUAAGCCAUAUAGGCUUCGAAUGUUACGAACCGUUCCGCUCCGCAGUAACAAAAAUCUUUAAAUAUAUUAUAUAUUCAUAUGUUUUUAUAACUGUUAAAACCGUACUGCAGUUAAACCGCUUAUUCCGCACCGCUCAAACCACAGUUGCCAUUCGGAGCCAUAAUGAAUUUGAAUUUGAUGUGUUGUUUUUUAUCGAGAAUAUUUUGAUGUGUUCUUUCUUUAUUGUUUCUGAAAGAGAGCAAGAAAUAACUGAAACUGAUUUUCUUGUUUUCAACACUUUCAAAGCGUAUAGUUAACGUGGUAAUACCAAAAAUGUGUCAUGUCAUACAUUUUGCUAAACCAAAAUAAAUUUCUUUUGACAUAUAGUAAGAGGAUGGAUGAUAAUUGAACAAAACUUUUAGUCGAAAGCAAACAAAACCCUUAAAAUAUAUUCCCUCAGUUUCAAAAUAAUACAUGUUUUAGAAAAUUUUCACAUUUUUUAAUAGAAUAUAUUAAAAUUUAAUUAUAAAUGCAUAAUUUUUUGUAAUUUUAUAUUUUUAUAUUUUUAAAUCAAUAAAAAAAAUUAAAAUGUAAUUAAUGUUUUUGAAUUUCAUAAUUUUCAUUAUAAUUUGACAAAAACUGUUUUGAAAAUAUAAAGUAUGUAUUUUUUUUAAACAAUUUUUUUUAAAGUAAAAUAUUUUUGAAACGAAUGGAGUAGGUUGAAGUGUGCACGCAAAAUAAACGAGAAUUUUUACACACAAAAAAAGAGAGACACAUUUUACAUGCAAACGACCAUAACAACAUAACGCCUAUGUGUCAAACAUGUGAUGUCCACGUAUAUUUUAUGUCUUUUCUCGCCUAAAAUUUGGCAAGUUUUGUUAAUUGUCGGUUUAUAAAUAACUAAUGAGAAAUGCUUAAUGGCAAGUGACAGUACUAUACUACUGGGAUUCAGUUUCUGAUAAAAACAAGAACAACUUCACUUUUUCUUCCAUAAAUCUAAGUUUUAUAGUAUUCAGAUAUGUCUUUACCAAUUGUUAGAUUCUACAUCUGACAUGAAAUAUAUGCAAACGUGCUCUAUAUUGAAUACUAGCAUUUGUUCAAAAGAAAAAAAAAAGAAUACUAGUAUUUCAAAUAAUGUUACUGAACAAAAACUUUUGGUUUCCACCUACCAACAAUUUAUUUGUUUCUUUUUUACACAAGAUAAAACGAUUUUUUAUUCACAAAAAAAAAAUUCAACCAAAUUUAUCAUUCUCUGUAUAUGCUUAAUUGUUGGCAAUUUCUAGUCUUAUACCAGUAAUCUCAAUUUGAUUAAUAUAAAUGCAACUAACAAUAUACAUUCGUCUUGCAGAUCUGCAAACCCUACAAACUGAGACACACAUAUAUAUAGGUAAGUUAUUCUCGAAGGAAAAUAUAUUAUUAUAUGCUUUACAAUUUUUUUUAAAUGUUUAGAAAAGAAAGGAAUAACAAUAAAGAGAAUUCAGAAAGUAGGACGACAUAAUAAAAUUCGUGGGGAAAGAAAAACAUAGGAAAUAAAUUGUAUGUAAUGAGAUAUGCGAAUCUAACUUUAGAUAUGUAUCUGAUGCAUGAAAUGAAACACCAUUAAUCCAUAUACAUUAGUGGCUUCUCGUUGGCCUGUCCGUACGGCCAGCUUUGGACGAAUAUGUAAACGAUAGCUCAUUGUAAAGUUAUUUUCUUUUUGUUGAAACAGCUUUUAUAAAGUAGCUGAACACUAAAGAUGAAACCAUAUAGUCUAAGGAUUUAUAAUUUAACGUUGAUAUAUGUAAGAAGGUAAUAUAAUAUGUAAAUGAAAUAUAACAAAUGGAAACCUUUGUGGCUAUUAUUUGGUCUAGUCCUGCAUUCUUUACUCAUAAUUGGAUACAAAAGAAGCUUUUGAAGCUUCAGCUACUUGUUUUAGAGCUCCCGAAAGUUGUUGCCCAUAGUGGUGAAUACGGUACUUUCGAGUAUGAAAUUAGUCCAUUUUUAGUUAUUUGACCCAUUCUACAAGAUUUGGUUGGCCACAACAUACGGGUUUGAUCAUUAGUUUCCAGUUAAUGUGAUGCAGCGGCAAUAGCCAAGGAUGGCGUUAUACCGAAUAUAAAUGGACUAACUUGACCAACAUAUAAUUCUAACUUUUAUCUUUCUUGACACAUCUAAAAGUAUCUAAUCUUAGUACACCAGUAAAGUAUGUAUUCUCAAAAAAAAAAGAAAAAAUCAAGUUUUUAAACUGCUGUAAACAUGGAUCUAACGGAUUGUAAAGUUAUUUAUUCAUAUAAUCACAAAUUUUAAACAAAUAUCUGCCUUUUGCAGAAGAAGUAGAAGGGGAAGAAGAAGAAGAAGAAGAAAACCUGCUGGAUAUGAUCAGAGGUGACAUUGCUGGGGUAGUAACCAGCCAUCAUGGGCUGCAUCUGCAUCAGGUGCUGUUGCAUCUCUUUUGCUAUUUUAUAUAAAACCUGAUUAUUAUUAUUUUUAUUUAUUUAUAGUUGCAAAAAUGUUUUAUAGAGAGAACCCCCACCACUAAACCCAAAGGAAAAAGAGAAGCCACCAGAGAAAGAGAGAGAGAGAGAGGGGAAGAUGUUAAACUUUUUGUAUCUGUCUUCUCUUUCUCACACCCACUUCUUCUGUAUAUAGAAAACUCUUAACUAUUGAAGAUGUAUAUCUCUGUGUGUGUGUGUGUGUGUGUGUUAUCUCGCUUUCUCUCCCCCACAAAAGUUGUUUUGCGUUAAAAGACUCAGAGAGACAGUGAAGUCUCUUAAAUAGAGAGAGAGAGAGAGAGAGAGAGAGAGAGGUGUUAAUAGGGAGGGGUGAGAGAGAGUCUUGUUUCUCUUUUUCUUGGGUUUUGG